rnacentral:rRNA from 1 species
UUUGAUCCUGGCUCAGGGACGAACGCUGGCGGGCGGGUUUAACACAUGCAAGUCGAACGAGAGGAGAAGGAAGCUUGCUUCUUUCAAAUCUAGUGGCAAACGGGUGAGUAACACGUAAACAACCUGCCUUCAGGAUGGGGACAACAGACGGAAACGACUGCUAAUACCGAAUACGUUCCUUAGGUCGCAUGACUUUAGGAAGAAAGGGUGGCCUCUACUUGUAAGCUAUCGCCUGAAGAGGGGUUUGCGUCUGAUUAGGUAGUUGGUGAGGUAACGGCCCACCAAGCCGACGAUCAGUAGCCGGUCUGAGAGGAUGAACGGCCACACUGGAACUGAGACACGGUCCAGACUCUUACGGGAGGCAGCAGUGGGGAAUCUUCCGCAAUGGGCGAAAGCCUGACGGAGCAACGCCGCGUGAGUGAUGACGGCCUUCGGGUUGUAAAGCUCUGUGAUCGGGGACGAACGGUCAGCAGACGAAUACUCUGCUGAAGUGACGGUACCCGAAUAGCAAGCCACGGCUAACUACGUGCCAGCAGCCGCGGUAAUACGUAGGUGGCAAGCGUUGUCCGGAAUUAUUGGGCGUAAAGCGCGCGCAGGCGGCUUCUUAAGUCCAUCUUAAAAGUGCGGGGCUUAACCCCGUGAUGGGAUGGAAACUGAGAGGCUGGAGUAUCGGAGAGGAAAGUGGAAUUCCUAGUGUAGCGGUGAAAUGCGUAGAUAUUAGGAGGAACACCAGUGGCGAAAGCGGCUUUCUGGACGACAACUGACGCUGAGGCGCGAAAGCCAGGGGAGCAAGCGGGAUUAGAUACCCCGGUAGUCCUGGCCGUAAACGAUGGAUACUAGGUGUAGGAGGUAUCGACCCCUUCUUGCCGGAGU